rnacentral:lncRNA from 13 species
ACAAUUCUCAUAUUUGGUCGGGUGAAGAAUCUGUGGUAAAAAAAAAAAGGCAACGGUUUCUUGCAUUGAGUUUCUUCACCCGCUCUGUGAACUUGAUAGGAAACGUUUUGAUAGAACGUUUCUCCACUAAACUACAUUUACACCGUAUUCAGACAUGUCAUUUCUGGCUGUCAUCGACAAGUACAAAAUCUGUUGUUUAAAAAAACAUAAAUCAGAAUAGGACUUUCUGUUUAUCUGACAACACCGGUGUUUUGCACACUAAAGACUGGUAGCAGAUGGGGACCGCUGUGCUUCCACCAACAGGUUACAAACAUAAGCAACAACGGCCUGUGAAACAGUUUUUAACAUGAUUACUCUGGUAAAUAAAGCGCUGGUAAAAAGAAAAGUAACUUCAUGGAAAUGACAGAGGUUUAAUUUUAUCCUGGGUUGUGUUCAUCAGGAAAAAAACGCUUUGCAACAGAAACCAAGGUAGUUUUCUUCCGUGUGGUUUGUACUGAACAUACUCUAACAAGAACACCAACAACAUGAGAUAUUACCUUUAACAUAGGGGCCCAGAGUUAUUCCCAAAUGGCACCAUAUUCCCUAUAUAGUGCACCACUUUAGACCACAACCAUUGGCCCUGGUUAAAAGUAGUGCCCUAUAUAGGGAAUAAGGUACCAUUUGAGAUGAAACCCAAGGCUUGACCAGGUCCUAAAUAUACCCUGGACCAAAGACUCCUGGCCAGGUUACGAGGCUACCAGAAAAACUCCUGGCCCUAAAACAAAGUGAACACACAGGAUAAGUCCCAAAUUGCACCUUAUUCCCUAUGUAGUGCACUACUUUUGACCAGGGUAGUGCACCGUAUAGGGUGCCAUUUGGGAUACACAAUGUUCAGUUCAAUCCCACGUGUGAGAACAGGUUGGAGUCAUAUUGAUAAGGUGAGAACAGCUUAGGGAAUUGACCGGAUCAUGACUAUGUAUGGCUCCAGUCUGUCUGUCUGUCUGUCUGUUUCUAUCCCACCAGUCAGUCAGUCUGUCUGUUUCUAUCCCACCAGUCAGUCUGUCUGUUUCUAUCCCACCAGUCCGUCAGUCUGUCAGUCUGUUUCUAUCCCACCAGUCAGUCAGUCAGUUUCUAUCCCACCAGUCAGUCAGUCUGUCUGUUUCUAUCCCACCAGUCAGUCAGUCUGUCUGUUUCUAUCCCACCAGUCAGUCAGUCUGUCUGUUUCUAUCCCACCCGUCCGUCCGUCCGUCCGUCUCCCAUGAGAGCGGGUGGAUGGAGAAUGGGAGGGGAGGAGUUGCUUCAGUUGCCAGUCUUGGGAGGCUGGGGCUCCAUGAAGGCAGGAUUGUAAGCAGGCUGGGCAGAAAGGAAGUCGGGCUGGGCGGGAGGUGCACAGGGAUAGGCUGGCUGAGGCUGGGCUGGGUAGCUGGGCUGCGCUGGAGCCUGGAGGGGGUAAGAUAGCUGUCCUGGACUGAACCCAGCCUGACUAUAAGACACUGGGAUAGCAGGAGGAUAGGCUGGACCUGGUAGAGAGAGAGAGAGAGAGAGAGAGAGAGAGAGAGAGGACAUUAAAACACACCACACCAGAGACACCGAGAACACACCAGACCAGACCAGACGGUUCCUGCCGUCAGGCUCCUCCUCUUUUCACUUACAAAUAAGCUUCACUUUCCACCUCCUCUGUUUGUUUUCAACUACAAUUAAUACAUUACUACACAACUAAGUAAUACAUUACUACACAACUAAGUAAUACCUCACUACACAACUAAGUAAUACCUCACAACUAAGUAAUACCACACAACUAAGUAAUACCUCACUACUAACUAAUACCACACAACUAACUAAUACCACACAACUAAGUAAUACCUCACUACACAACUAAGUAAUACCUCACUACACAACUAAGUAAUACCUCACAACUAAGUAAUACCUCACAACUAACUAAUACCACACAACUAACUAAUACCACACAACUAACUAAUACCUCAGAACUAACUAAUACCUCAGAACUAACUAAUACCUCAGAACUAACUAAUACAUUACUACACAACUAAGUAAUACC